CCGCCGUCCUUUUCUCGGCAUGUUUUCAGUUUUAGUAUCCAAAUAAUUUCACUAAAAUAAUUUUAGUACAUAUUCCUUAGAUACCUUUUCCCCGAAAAAAAAUCACUUGCACUAGAUAAACAAAUACGUAAAUGCAUUAAUUGUCCGGUAACCAACUUGAAAUUCGAAAUAUAUUUCGAUUCAAUAUAAGAUUUCAAAGGUAAAAAUAAAAAUUUGCAUCUGAAUGAAUUUAAACCACUAAAUGAAUGCGCGUUCAAUCAGCCACGACAAACGCAAAUGUUUACCAAAUAACACAUAGCUUUACAUGUUUAACAGAAG
rnacentral:lncRNA from 1 species